UACGGAGGAUCCAAGCGUUAUCCGGAUUUAUUGGGUUUAAAGGGUGCGUAGGCGGCCUAUUAAGUCAGGGGUGAAAGACGGUAGCUUAACUAUCGCAGUUCCUUUGAUACUGAUGGGCUUGAAUACACUAGAGGUAGGCGGAAUGUGACAAGUAGCGGUGAAAUGCAUAGAUAUGUCACAGAACACCAAGUGCGAAGGCAGCUUACUAUGGUGCAAUUGACGCUGAGGCACGAAAGCGUGGGGAUCAAACAGG
rnacentral:rRNA from 1 species